rnacentral:misc_RNA from 1 species
AACAAGGCGUACCUGCGGACCUGCGGAAGGAUCAUUACCAGAGUGCCUUCAGGCUCUCCAACCCACUGUGAACAUACCUACGUUCCCCCGGCGGGCUCAGCGCGCGGCGGCUCCGGCCGCCCGCGUCCGCCGAGGGCAUCUCAAACCCGAAUUUAUUCGUGUCUUCUGAGGGGCGAAAGCCCGUAAAACAAAAUGAAUCAAAACUUUCAGCAACGGAUCU